GCCUGCGUAGCUCAGUGGAUAGAGCAUUCGUCUCCUAAACGAAGGGUCGGCGGUUCGAGUCCGCCCGCGGGCA
rnacentral:tRNA from 1 species